GACAAGCUUUAUUGGCCCUUCAUCAGAUAAAGAAAAGCCACAUGAACUAGGUAGGAUCAUGGUACUACAGGAGCAGAAUGAAGGUCUGCAUCAAACUUUGCUGAAGACAGCAGUGAGGAUGGAGUGUUUAGGAGAGGAAUUCAUGAGCAG